UUCUUAUUAAGAGUGAGUGGAGGGACUUGGCCCUGUGAAACUCCAGCAGCAACCGCUUUGCGGUAUCGUGCUAAAUCCAACAAGUUGAUGACUUGAAAGAUAAGAA
rnacentral:ncRNA from 2 species